GCGAGAGGAGAGACCCUGAAACACACGCCACCUAUCUUUGUGGGGAGGGAUAAUUGAAGAGCACCAAACAUCUGGAUCAGGGGUGAGAUGGGCUCUUCGUGGCUCUGAUCUCCCGUGGAAGCAGCUGGAUGGACUGAGAGGCAGCACGGACGAGUAACGCGUGGGACUGAACUUUAGGGAGGUUACAAGUUUUUCACCUUUUUCAAGUAUUAAAAUUAAAAUAAAAUUACAUCUAGAAAAAAAAAAAAAAAA